AGAAUAAACAUAAUUAAAUUUGAAUUAUUUUCGAGUCGCGCGGCUUUUUUAUUCCGUAAAGUUCGAAUAAUUUAUUUCGAACUCGCAUAAACAAAUAAUACCUAACAUAUUCCCGAGGCCUUGGUAAUUAAAAAUUAAAAAAAAAAAAUACAGGCAUCAUUUCGAUAUUCUCGUAUCCACCCGUGUAGAAUACACUUGAUUAGCGACGGUUCGGCGGACGAAAUUUAAAUAGUCGUAAAACACAUUUCCGGCGCGGCAUGUAAUAGAAAGCAAGUGCAGGGGGGCUGUCGGUAACGGGGCUUUCAGGCAUAACUGAUAGUAAAUAACGGG